GAGGGGGACGUUUUGGGGCCGCCCAGCUCCUUGGCUCCGACGGAGGGUCUCUGCACCCAGCUGGCACUGUGGGAGGACAAAGAAGCCUCUGUGCUUGCGCAGCACGAGCAGUUCCCCACCUUCUGCAGUCCCCCCGCUGGCGCGCACGAUCCGCUGCUGAUGCGCAGCCCACGGCACGGCUCUGAGCAUCCAGGGAAGGCUUUGGGG